UACGGGGGGGGGCAAGCGUUGUUCGGAAUUACUGGGCGUAAAGGGCUCGUAGGCGGCCAACUAAGUCAGACGUGAAAUCCCUCGGCUUAACCGGGGAACUGCGUCUGAUACUGGAUGGCUUGAGUUUGGGAGAGGGAUGCGGAAUUCCAGGUGUAGCGGUGAAAUGCGUAGAUAUCAGGAGGAACACCGGUGGCGAAGGCGGGGAUCCUGGGCCAUUGCUGACACUGAGGCGCGAAAGCUGGGGGGAGCGAACAGG
rnacentral:rRNA from 1 species